AUUUCGACAAACCAGGACUGAACCUAGAAUCAAGAUUGGGUUGUUGUUCAACAUUCCCGCUAUUAUAACUUCUUCUUGAGCUGGAAACACCCAUAUUCCUAAUAUGGAAACCAUCACUAGCAUUACUUCCAUUAUAUUCACUUCCUUCAUCACAAUCAAAAUUAGGAUUCAUUACAAAAUUCCCCCCACCUCGAUCAAAUCCAUUUACAUCUCCAAUAAUCCUCCCUGUUCGCUUCGCUUUCAUUGAAAUUCCAUUUUUCAUCCUAUACCCACUUGAAAACUCA
rnacentral:misc_RNA from 1 species